UGUGGUUAUUAUAGCAAAGAGGAUACACCUGUUUCCAUUCCGAACACAGAAGUUAAGCUCUUUAGCGCCGAUGGUACUUGGUGGGAAGCCGCCUGGGAGAGUAGGAUGUAGCCAUGU
rnacentral:rRNA from 1 species